GAUGAACGCUAGCGGCAGGCUUAAUACAUGCAAGUCGAGGGGCAGCAUGACUGUAGCAAUACAGUUGAUGGCGACCGGCAAACGGGUGCGGAACACGUACAGAACCUUCCUUCGAGCGGGGAAUAGCCCAGAGAAAUUUGGAUUAAUACCCCAUAGUACAACGGAGUGGCAUCACUUUGUUGUUAAAGAUUUAUCACUUGAAGAUGGCUGUGCGGCUGAUUAGGUAGUUGGCGGGGUAACGGCCCACCAAGCCUGCGAUCAGUAACUGGUGUGAGAGCACGACCAGUCACACGGGCACUGAGACACGGGCCCGACUCCUACGGGAGGCAGCAGUAAGGAAUAUUGGUCAAUGGACGAAAGUCUGAACCAGCCAUGCCGCGUGGAGGAUGAAGGUCCUCUGGAUUGUAAACUUCUUUUAUAUGGGACGAAAAAAGGGUUUUCUAACUCGUCUGACGGUACCAUAUGAAUAAGCACCGGCUAACUCCGUGCCAGCAGCCG
rnacentral:rRNA from 1 species